GCCUGGGUGGCUUAGUCAGUUAAGUGUCUGACUUCAGCUCAGGUCAUGAUCUCAGUUCGUGGGUUCCAGCCCUAUGUCGGGCU
rnacentral:tRNA from 1 species